rnacentral:lncRNA from 1 species
GUGGAAGUUCGACUGGGAUCCGGCUCUUGUAGGAGCUUAGGUGAAAUUAGCUUGGAUGAAAUCUGAAAGGUGAUCGACCACCGUAGAAACUUGGAUGGAGUCUGGUUACUGCAGAAGUCCUACUGUUGGAGAAGCUCGAACAUUGAUGAAGUUCGAAAGAAGUUCGGAGUAAAGUCAUUCGUGGCCGGAAGAAGUCUGGAAGAGAUUCGGAGAAUAAUCGAUCACUGUAGAAAAUCGGCUGAUAGUGAAGCUCAGAGAGCGUUUGGAGCAGUCCGGUAGAUGAAUGGAGGAGCUCAUUAUUGGAGAAGUCUGGAUGGUAUUAUGGAAGCUCGGACGGUCGGGGGAGUUCAGAAAGACGCCACACA